CAAAUUAUAAACUAGUUAGCCAACUACGAGGAAGCAAUAACAAAUUUAAGCUAUGCGGUAAAAAUAUGAUACAACACCGACAAAAAUAAGUCAAAUCAUGUCUUUUACAGCCUUUAAAAUAUUCUCAGCGAAAAAUUGCACAAACCGUGAAAGUUUCUUACCAAACCGUAAUGCAAGUGAGAAAAAAAUUGAUUUUAGAAAAGAGUUUGGCCCAAGGAAACCACCUACUAAACGCAAGACAACACCAAGACCAGACCGUUUAAUCCAAAAUAUCUGCCUGGAAAACAGAAAAAAAAGUCACAAAACGUAUUGACUUAUUCAUAAAAUUGGUUUUGUUGUAUCAGAACAAACCAUUUGCAGAAGACUAAAAGAAGAAGGUUUGAUGUGUUAUUGUCGAGAAACCAAAACUAACUUCACUCAUGCAAAAAAAAAGACUAGAGUGGGCUCGAAACAAUUGUCACUGGUCUGUUGGGGAUUGAGAAAAAAUUUGCUUCUCAGAUAAAUCAACCUUUUAAGUAAUGACGGAAAAAACCCUUUAUGUUUGUCGUAGGACAAACAAAAAGUUUUAUCUUAACUUCAUUGUGGAAGCAGUCAAGCAUCCAGCUUCAGUAAUGAUCUGGUAUGUCAUUUGUGGGCAAGGAGCAGGGCAUUUCUACAAUAUGAUUGGUAUAAUGAGGCAGGACCAGUAUAAAGAAGUUCUGGAGAAUCAAUUGCUUCUCCAAAUGCCGGGAUGGUCUAGAAAUGUCAAAAAGUUCAAAAUGUUAAAAAUUCAAAAUGUCAAAAAGUGUCAAAAAUCUUAUAUUUAUCCCAGAUGGUGCAACUUGCCAUACAGAAAAAAGUUGUAUGGCUUAUUCAAAAUAGAAAAAAUUGAUUUAUUGCUAUGGCUAGGCAACUCACCUGAUCUUAACCCCAUAGAAAACAUUAAGGAAAUAGUAAAUCGAGAGUUUGGAAAAAAUAUUUUGACCAACAAGUAAGACCAUAUGGAAGAGAUUAUCAGGAUCUGGCACCAUAACCCAGUGUUGGCAGAAACUAUAAAAAAAAUAGUUUGCCAGCAUGCCGUUAAAGGACUUAUUGCAAUAAAAGUGGGUUAAUACUUUAAUACUUAAUGUAUAUUUUAUUGAAAUAACCAAUAAAUA